rnacentral:misc_RNA from 1 species
GUAAUUAUCAAAAAUUGAAAGAACUACCUGUAUUAUAUGAAUGUUACUUGAUAUUUACUGAACCUCAUGUUGAACGCACAGAGUUACUGAGAGGAACUGUGUUCAUGAUGCAUGUUGAUUUGUGCAUUUUAGGGAUUUUUUCACCAGAAUUUAUGAGUAUUGGUGAUAAUCCAUGAGACUAAUCUUCCCCACAGUGUCAGGGGUUCUUGUGUCUGUAUCAGAGUUGUCAGAUCCUAACUGGGUUAAUUAAAUCUCUGAGUUAAUCUAAGGUAAAAGAUGUUACAAAGCAUUUGGUAUCAGUCGCUUUAAUAAGACUAUUUCUUUGUUAGAGAUUUUCAUUGACGAUGACCAAUGGUAUCGGUAUUUUGUUUAUAAAUAAAGAAAAGGGUCUAUCUUUUAGGAAAUAGAAUGUCUGAUAUAACAACUAAAACAUGAGUAAAUUAAUCCAGGUUAUGGUACAUUUAAAUCACUAUGGCAACAAAGAUUUAUGGAUUGAAAAUGAUAGAAAAGAUUUCAGAGUUAUUUGUAUUCUCAUUCAUUUUAAUACAUGUGCUACUGAAUCAUUCAUUAAUAGAUUAUGUAACAGUCAGGGCUGUGUUUUCAAGAGAACUUACGACAAAGCCAUAAAUAUUUUCAGUCUCUUGGAAUUAUAUAUAACGAACAAAACUUAAGACAUAAUUUUAUUUAUACAACUACUCUGAUGUUCAUAAUAAUAUUUUACAGCCUUGAGAUUAAACUAUUUAUUAGUUUGUGAUUAAUUAGCAUUCAUUAAUCUGGUCGUAAGUCGUAAGUUCUUUUGUAAAACACAGCCCAGGCGUACUGUUUGUCUCCAUAAUCAACGACUGUGAUACCAACCUGUGUUGUGUUAGUCCCCUGAUGGAACUCUUACUUUUUCGGUAUAUCUGAUCUCAAUUGUUUAGAUUUAUAUAAUUUUUUAAAAAUGUGAACAAAUGGUUAAAUGUCGGUUAAUGUGGGUUAAUUUCACAUCCUGGAUACAUGUAUAAGUAGUUCACUCUGAGAUGUCUUAAUGUAGUUAUGUAGUUUUGGAAGCAUCCAGUCCUUCUAGCAUUUAACUUAAUGUGGUGGAUAGAAGCAAAAAAAAAUAAUAUGUGGUGGUUGCAGUACAAAUUUUUUUGUCUGAACAAAAUCCCAGAGCUUGUAAGUGAGCAUGAAAAGCUAAAUGCUGGUUUCUAAGAUUUUGUGGUUACUUUGGUCAUCUUGCUUUUUUAUUUCCAAAUCUGUAAUUCUGAGUAUUUUGCUAAGUACUUGCUUUGGAGUCUUGCUAUUUCAUUUCUAAUUCUGAUAUACCGAGUAUUCUGCCAACUCCUAGUUUGUCUGUUUUAUGUGUGGUGUACCACUCAGAUGUUAUGUAUACGUGCCUUUCAUUCAGAAAAGAAUCACUCAUCAAAUUGUUAUUUAGAUACUGUUUUCACAAGCUAUCGGUAAUUCUAUGGCCUUAGGAUGUCUGUAAUUUGUGUUCAAUUUGGAAUUUUCUUUCAUACAUUUUGAGUUUGAUUCAUUCAAUUACAGAGCAUACUCUGUGCCUGUAUAACUGAUGUUAUAUGCUUAUUUACAUAAAAUUGUGUCGUUGGUUUUAUAUCAGUGAUGUUUUCAUGAAGGUUCAUCGAAUAACUUUAGCUGGUUAUUUUGGUUGAUGCAAAAUUUUGCAAGUUAAGAUACGAGAGAUUACGGUAUGCCAUAUAUUUGAUGAUAAAUUAUUGUUAUUUCAGUAUUACCUUGUAUCCUCUGUUUAAGUUUACCCAGCAUAAAAUUUUCUUCAGAUUUAUGUUGUUGAUAUUAAUCACCAGAAUAAGCUAAAAUUAUCUGUAUAUCAAACUAACCUGCAUAACGUACUCUGACCGAGACAAUGUUUACUUAAAAGGUGAGACAAAUGAUUGCCCAUUAUAAAACAUGCUUGAGGGAAUGUGCAUUUAAUUUAGUGUGUAAAUGUUUGCCUAGAUAAAUUAUUUUGCAUGUAGGAGUUUUUCAAGUUUUUAAAAUAGCAAUGAUAAAUAAAGAUUAUCAUGUGUG